rnacentral:rRNA from 1 species
GACGAACGCUGGCGGCGUGCCUAAUACAUGCAAGUAGAACGCUGAAGAGAGGAGCUUGCUCUUCUUGGCUGAGUUGCGAACGGGUGAGUAACGCGUAGGUAACCUGCCUUGUAGCGGGGGAUAACUAUUGGAAACGAUAGCUAAUACCGCAUAACAAUGGAUGACACAUGUCAUUUAUUUGAAAGGGGCAAUUGCUCCACUACAAGAUGGACCUGCGUUGUAUUAGCUAGUAGGUGAGGUAAUGGCUCACCUAGGCGACGAUACAUAGCCGACCUGAGAGGGUGAUCGGCCACACUGGGACUAAGACACGGCCCAGACUCCUACGGGAGGCAGCAGUAGGGAAUCUUCGGCAAUGGGGGCAACCCUGACCGAGCAACGCCGCGUGAGUGAAGAAGGUUUUCGGAUCGUAAAGCUCUGUUGUAAGUCAAGAACGGGUGUGAGAGUGGAAAGUUCACACUGUGACGGUAGCUUACCAGAAAGGGACGGCUAACUACGUG